rnacentral:tRNA from 1 species
AAGGGAGACCUAAUUCCGGUAGGAGACGAAAAAAAAGUAGUCCCUACCAAGAAUCAAUCCCAAAAGGUCGAAGCGAGGCAAGAUUGGCUUUCAAACUAGGUUCUGGGUUCAAACAAGACCUGAAUCAGGAACAAGGGCUAUUAGCUCAGGUGGUUAGAGCGCACCCCUGAUAAGGGUGAGGUCCCUGGUUCGAGUCCAUGAUGGCCCACCUGCACAGGUGGCAAAAACAAAGAAGCGAGGAAUCAGCACCUUAUCUUGCUCAUAUAGUAAGAGAGAAUGCUGGCUCUGAGUAAAGAGUCCAGAGGAACCUUGAAAACUGCAUAGAGCUAGGUGAAAAAGCCAAAAAAGAAGACCGCAA